GUUUUAUCAAGAGUCGGGGGAGAGAGUUGGCUCUGUGAUCCCGACACCAACCUGGCGGAUACGCCAAGGUGGUCCGGCCUACAGCGAUGAAGG
rfam:Eggerthella lenta DSM 2243, complete genome.